rnacentral:rRNA from 1 species
AACGAACGCUGGCGGCAUGCCUAGCACAUGCAAGUCGAACGAAGCCUUCGGGCUUAGUUGCGCACGGGGGCGUAACGCGGGGGAAUCUGCCCCUUGCUUCGGAAUAACAGUUAUAAAUGACUGCUAAUACCGGGUGAAGUCUUCUGACCAAAGAUUUAUCGGCAUGGGAUGAGCCCGCGUAGGAUUAGGUAGUUGGUGGGGUAAAGGCCUACCAAGCCGACGAUCCUUAGCUGGUCUGAGAGGAUGAUCAGCCACACUGGGGCUGAGACACGGCCCAGACUCUUACGCGAGGGAGCAGAGGGGGAUAUUGGACGAUGGACGCAAGUCUGAUCCAGCACUGCCGGGUAAGUGAUGAAGGCGUUAGGGUUGUAAAGCUCUUUUACCAGGGGUGAUAAUGACGGUACCUGGAGAAUAAGCACCGGCUAACUCUGUG